AUUGAACGCUGGCGGCAUGCCUUACACAUGCAAGUCGAACGGCAGCACGGGAGCAAUCCUGGUGGCGAGUGGCGAACGGGUGAGUAAAGUAUCGGAACGUGCCCAGCCGUGGGGGAUAACGUAGCGAAAGUUAAGCCAAUACCGCAUACAAUCUAUGGAUGAAAGCGGGGGAUCGCAAGACCUCGCGCGAAUGGUGCGGCCGAUAUCAGAUUAGAUAGUUGGGGGGGUAAAGGCUCACCAAGCCGACGAUCUGUAGCUGUUCCGAGAGGACGACCAGCCACACUGGGACUGAGACACGGCCCAGACUCCUACGGGAGGCAGCAGUGGGGAAUUUUGGACAAUGGGCGAAAGCCUGAUCCAGCCAUGCCGCGUGCAGGAUGAAGGCCUUCGGGUUGUAAACUGCUUUUGUACGGAACGAAAAGGUUUGGCCUAAUAAGCUGAGCUCAUGACGGUACCGUAAGAAUAAGCACCGGCUAACUACGUGCCAGCCGCCGCCGUAA
rnacentral:rRNA from 1 species